ACGCUAGCUACAGGCUUAACACAUGCAAGUCGAGGGUCAGCAUGUUGGUUGCUUGCAACCAAUGAUGGCGACCGGCGCACGGGUGAGUAACGCGUAUCCAACCUACCCAAUACUCAGGCAUAACCCGUUGAAAGACGGACUAAUUCCUGAUGGUAUGUAUCUUUCUCAUGAUUUAUACAUUAAAGAAUUUCGGUAUUGGAUGGGGAUGCGUCUGAUUAGUUUGUUGGUGAGGUAACGGCUCACCAAGACUUCGAUCAGUAGGGGUUCUGAGAGGAAGGUCCCCCACAUUGGAACUGAGACACGGUCCAAACUCCUACGGGAGGCAGCAGUGAGGAAUAUUGGUCAAUGGAUGGAAAUCUGAACCAGCCAAGUAGCGUGCAGGAUGACGGCCCUAUGGGUUGUAAACUGCUUUUAUGUGAGAAUAAAGUUAGGUAUGUAUACUUAUUUGCAUGUAUCACAUGAAUAAGGACCGGCUAAUUCCGUGCCAGCAGCCGCGGUAAUACGGAAGGUCCAGGCGUUAUCCGGAUUUAUUGGGUUUAAAGGGUGCGUAGGCCGUUUGAUAAGCGUGCUGUGAAAUAUAGUGGCUCAACCUCUAUCGUGCAGCGCGAACUGUUGAACUUGAGUGCGUAGUAGGUAGGCGGAAUUCGUGGUGUAGCGGUGAAAUGCUUAGAUAUCACGAAGAACUCCGAUUGCGAAGGCAGCUUACCGUAACGUUACUGACGCUUAAGCACGAAGGUGCGGGUAUCGAACAGGAUUAGAUACCCUGGUAGUCCGCACAGUAAACGAUGGAUGCUCGCUGUUGGCCUUUAAUGGUCAGUGGCUUAGCGAAAGCGUUAAGCAUCCCACCUGGGGAGUACGCCGGCAACGGUGAAACUCAAAGGAAUUGACGGGGGCCCGCACAAGCGGAGGA
rnacentral:rRNA from 1 species